rnacentral:rRNA from 1 species
CUACGGGUGGCUCCAGUGGGGAAUAUUGCGCAAUGGGGGAAACCCUGACGCAGCAACGCCGCGUGAGUGAAGAAGGUUUUCGGAUCGUAAAGCUCUGUCUUUGGGGACGAAUAAAUGACGGUACCCAAGGAGGAAGCCCCGGCUAACUACGUGCCAGCAGCCGCGGUAAUACGUAGGGGGCAAGCGUUGUCCGGAAUUACUGGGCGUAAAGCGCACGCAGGCGGUCUAUUAAGUUAGAUGUGAAAGUCCGGGGCUCAACCCCGAAAUUGCAUCUAAUACUGGUAGACUUGAGUCUCGGAGAGGUAAGCGGAAUUCCUAGUGUAGCGGUGAAAUGCGUAGAGAUUAGGAAGAACACCGGUGGCGAAGGCGGCUUACUGGACGAGUACUGACGCUCAGGUGCGAAAGCGUGGGGAGCGAACAGGAUUAGAUACCCUAGUAGUC